rnacentral:lncRNA from 1 species
AUGUAAAAGGGGGUUGCUAAGUGCUGAUUCCCCGAAUCACUGGUGGUUGCUAAGUGCUGAAUCCACCGAUAACGGUUAUCAUUCCGAGUGUUCAACGAGUAAAUUGGGAAGGUGAAUAUUUAUACAUAUGGUGGACAAGGUUAUGGGAGGAAUAUUGGGUUUGAUACUUAAUCAACCCAUGUAUAAGAUGGGAGGAAAUAUCAAAAGUACAA